rnacentral:rRNA from 1 species
UACGUAGGGAGCAAGCGUUGUCCGGAUUUAUUGGGCGUAAAGAGCUCGUAGGCGGCUUAGAAAGUCAGGUGUGAAAACUCUGGGCUUAACCCAGAGACGCCACUUGAUACUUCUAUGGCUUGAGUUCGGUAGGGGACCAUGGAAUUCCUGGUGUAGCGGUGAAAUGCGCAGAUAUCAGGAGGAACACCGGUGGCGAAGGCGGGUCUCUGGGCCGAUACUGACGCUGAGGAGCGAAAGCGUGGGGAGCGAACAGG